UUGAUUCUGAUUAACUCGGUGCUCACGAGUUUACCUAUGUUUCUGUUAUCUUUCUUCGAAGUACCAGUUGGGGUGAGGAAAAGACUAGACUUUUAUCGUUCUCGCUUCUUCUGGCAGAGUGAUGAGUCUAAGAGGAAGUACAGAUUGGCCAAAUGGGAUAUUAUCUGCAGACCAAAGGACCAAGGAGGACUUGGUAUUGAAAAUCUUGAAGUCAAAAAUAAAUGCCUCCUGAGUAAGUGGCUGUUUAAGUUGUCUUCUGAGACAGAGGCAACUUGGGCGCAGAUUUUACGUAGUAAAUAUCUGUACUCAAAGACUUUAUCCCAAGUCACUCUGAGACCUACAGAUUCGUCGUUCUGGAAAGGGCUCAUGAGGGUUAAAGCCGCUUUCUUCAACAGAACGAAAUGUAUUGUUGGUAAUGGAGAUGAUACGCGAUUCUGGGAGGAUACGUGGCUGGGUGACGCGCCUUUGGCUUCACAAUAUCGAACACUAUAUCGUAUUGUUCAGCGUAGGGAUGCUCUUGUUGCCACAGUAAUGCAGUCUAUUCCUCUCAACAUACAGUUUAGGAGAGUUCUUGUUGGACCUAGAUGGGAAGCAUGGCUUCACUUGGUCCGUAGGCUGAUGGACGUGCAGCUAAAUCCUCAGCCCGACCAGUUGUAUUGGAAACUAACUAAAACCGGGGUGUUCACG
rnacentral:rRNA from 1 species